rnacentral:rRNA from 1 species
GGAGGCAGCAGUGGGGAAUAUUGCACAAUGGGCGCAAGCCUGAUGCAGCCAUGCCGCGUGUAUGAAGAAGGCCUUCGGGUUGUAAAGUACUUUCAGCGAGGAGGAAGGCGUUGUGGUUAAUAACCACAGCGAUUGACGUUACUCGCAGAAGAAGCACCGGCUAACUCCGUGCCAGCAGCCGCGGUAAUA